CACAUUUCCAUUGCAUUUGCUUAUCUUGAAAGCUGAAAAAAAAUUGAAUUCAUCUGCUGUCAAGCCUUGCUUCAGAUCAAACCUUUCUGUCCCCUGGAUAGGAAUCAAUUUGAUUUGUGCUUUUCUCUUAGGUUGGAAUCAAUCAUCCUGCUCUGAUUCGAAUGACCAUUUUACCCCUCUGAAGGUUCACAUUAACAAGCAUUCCUGGGAUGUUUUCUUGAUUGGGUUCAAGUAAUUCCCACAUUGAUGUUGUUCCAGACCAUCUGAUCCCAGCCUCUGGAAGUCCUUCCUGCUGGAAAGCAGCAGUCCCUGUAUGAACUACGAGCACGGUUGAGUCGGAAGUCGCCUUCAUAACAGCUUUGAUGUUUCAACGCUUUUUACAGGAGAUGAGAUUUGAUAACCUGC
rnacentral:lncRNA from 1 species